AUUGAACGCUGGCGGCAGGCCUAACACAUGCAAGUCGAGCGGAUGAAGGGAGCUUGCUCCUGGAUUCAGCGGCGGACGGGUGAGUAAUGCCUAGGAAUCUGCCUGGUAGUGGGGGAUAACGUCCGGAAACGGGCGCUAAUACCGCAUACGUCCUGAGGGAGAAAGUGGGGGAUCUUCGGACCUCACGCUAUCAGAUGAGCCUAGGUCGGAUUAGCUAGUUGGUGGGGUAAAGGCCUACCAAGGCGACGAUCCGUAACUGGUCUGAGAGGAUGAUCAGUCACACUGGAACCGAGACACGGUCCAGACUCCUACGGGAGGCAGCAGUGGGGAAUAUUGGACAAUGGGCGAAAGCCUGAUCCAGCCAUGCCGCGUGUGAAGAAGGUCUUCGGAUUGUAAAGCACUUUAAGUUGGGAGGAAGGGCAGUAAGUUAAUACCUUGCUGUUUUGACGUUACCAACAGAAUAAGCACCGGCUAACUUCGUG
rnacentral:rRNA from 1 species